UACGAUCUAAAAUAUCUAAAGCUGAGUAAAUGGAGACAGAUUAAAAUAGAUCAUCAUACUGUAAUUUAUCACCUUUCAACUCAUUUUAACCAAAUAAAAUCAAUUCAUAUAAAUCGAGUAAUCAACAUGGCUUAUAAAUUUCUUAAAAUUUUGGUUCGUGCCAAAAUCAUUCUCAUACUCAGUUAUUAGGGAUACCUUGGCAUGGGGCUAUCCCAACCGAGUCCGCCAAGGCUGUUAAAAAUUUCGUAUACACAUAAACAUAUUUUUAUUUUGAAAACAUAGUCGUUCCUUGGCAUUGGCUGAGUUCACCCUCACGUGGUGGUUUGGCGUGAAGUGAACUCUAAGAGUGUACCUCGGGAGUUACCCUACACGCCUCUCCAACCGAGGUAAGAAUAUAACAGGGUUACCAUGCCCCUCUAAUAGGCUAAAUAAAAUCUAAACCCACCAAUUCAAUAAAAUCUCAAUCGCAUGACAUGGCAAUUAUAUCACAAUCUAACCUCUCAAGGCUAAAUACACAGUUCAUAUAUUUUCAGCACAUUUACCAAUUCAGCCAUUCAUGCAACUAUUGUCAUAAGCCAUUCGAUUCAAACCAUGAAUUUAAAAAACAUGAAAACAGUCUCCAAUUACUCUAUUUUCAAAACCAUCAUUCAAUCUCAAGACAAUUUUAUAAAAUCAUUUUCAUUUAAUCUCAUUUUGCUUAUAAAACAUAAAGAUUUACUAUUUAAUCUCAUUUUCCAUAAAAUCACAAAAUCGAAUAAAACCACUUUAGAUAAUUAAGACGAUAGUAAGGUUACUCACUAUUUUGGGAGUCGAAUUUCAAGUACUCCGAUUCUUGAUCCUCGGGUACUAUCUCUUUACUUUUGCCAGAAUGCUCACCACCUAGACAUAAUGCACAAUAAGCCAUUUACUACAUUUGUGCUAAAUUGUUAUAAAACCAAUUUAGGCUCUAUACUAAUGCAUGAAAUGGGAUGUAAAUUGUUCGGAUUAUCGUCUAAACACGAUGUUCUACACAAAUUUAAUUGUGUACUUAAAUAAAACGGUAUUGGCCUAAUUCGAUCUAUCACUCGAUUAAUUGGUCAAUAUGUCCAAUUCAACUCCAAUUAACUCCAUAUUUCUUCUAAUUCUCCAAAUCAUCAAACAUAAAUUAAAUAACUUGAAAUAUGGCAAAAUCAUCCUCACAUUUUUUCUUGGGAAUUUCGGCCGUGGUGGGUGCAUCAACACUUUGAUAUUUCCUACUUGAUUUUCUCACCAUAAUUCAUCAUUUCCUAACCAAUUCACUUGAAAUAAAAUCAAAUCCACCAUCCACACUUUACAUGGAAAAUUUAGCCAAUGAUGGGUGAUGGAAGAACAUGAAUUUUUCUUGCUUGAUUUUCAUGCUACACAUCACUAACUAACUAAAAACACUAAAAUAUCUUAAAAUCUAAUCAAAUCAAGCAUCAAAACUCCUCCCCCCAUGGUCGGCCAGCAAGGGAUUCAUCAUGCCAACUUGAUUCUCAACCAUGGAAAAUGCAAAAUAAUGCAUAGGAAAGGUAGAUCACAAGCUAGAAUUGAAAAAUCUUACCUUUUUUCACUUGUUUCCUUGAAUUUUCACACUUUUCCCUUGAAUUUUUCCACCUAGGUUUUUUGUUCUUCUUUUCUUCCUUUGUUCUUCCUUUGGCCGGCCAUAUGAAGAGAAAUGGGCUGAUUUUGUGCUGAUUUUUAAGCCAAAUAAUAAAUAGAUGAAAAUUUGACACAUGUCACCAUUCCAUUGAUCCAUGUGUCAUACUUACCCAUUAAGCAAUCUCUCUCCACCACUUAAAUUUUCUCAAUCAUCCAUGAUAAUAUUGGGUAAAAUUCUUGUGCUGGACAAGUGUUGGGUGGUGUAAAAUUACAAUUUUGCCCUUGUGGUGGCAAAAUGACUAUUUUGACCUUAUGCUAGGAAAAAUGCCGGAAUUAAAAUUCUUCACUUCUCAAACUCAAAUUAGGUUCUAAAUUGUCAAUCUUGAUCAAAAACUUCUUCCAACAUUCCAAUUUUAACCUUGGGUGGCAAAAUGACCAUUUUGCCCCUACAUCAUGAAAAUUUUAAUUUGACUCCAAAUUGGUCCUCGAACUCCGAAUCACCAUUUUAAGUUAUUCUGGGAUUUUAAAAUUCUCAAUUUCAUCUUAAAAUCUCUAUUUGGACUAGUUCGAGGCUUAAUUCAACUUAAUUGUACCAUUUGGUACAUUGUCAUCCUUUAACGAUUUUCGAGGUACCCAAGUAAGCAAACAUGCAUUCUUAUGUAAGAAUGGCAUAAUAAACAUAUUGCAGAGCUAGGCUUGACAGUACUACUCCCCUUAAAAUAAAAUUUUGAUCUCAAAAUUUCAUUUACUAAACGCAGAGAAUAGGUGGGGAUAUUGUUUUCUCAUCUAAUGCUCGACUUCUUAUGUCAUCCCCUUUAUAGGGAAUUUCUAUUUGUUCACCUCAUUUACCUCCAAUUCAACUCGAGUACUUCAUUUAUGUCUAUUAUUAUCCUUUAAAAUGACCAACAAUAACCUUUACAAUUCUGAUCUCUUAUAUCGAGACACCAAGCAUGCUUCUAUUACUAUCAUUAAACUUGAACCAUAACUCCAUCUCAAUCAUAACAAUUUCGAUCGCAUUUUAUACUUAUUUAGGUAUACCAAUCAUUAUCUUAUUACUUCAUUCCAUAUCAAACUUCUCGACUUUCAUUCAUUCAUCCUAUCCUCGUACACUAUUGGGUAGUUUAUGGCAUCAUUAACAUGCCAUACUCAUUCUUGUACAUAUCCUCAGUGUUAAGGAAGAUUAAUGGCUUCAAUUAUUUCCACAUACUUCAUGUUUACCUUGCAUUUAGGAAAUUUCAAUCUUCUUAAUCCUAUUAAUCCAUCUCAUAAGGCUUAAUCUCUUGUCUUCUUUAUUUCUUAAGAUUUGACUUCAGUCAACAUAUUAUUCAUCUUAACACUCCACAUGUUAAUUUAUUUUUAUGUAGCCAUCUCAAAAACUCUCUGACUUUUUCUUCUCUUACAUGCCAAUAUAUAAGGCAAUAAAGAACUUUGCAAUUUCACUCAUUAUCUUUAUCUUAAUACCUCCUCAAUGCACUUAAAACUCCAAACAACAAAGCUUAGCAUCAAAACCAAUGACCAUUCUUCAACUCGUGAGUUUCAUCUUCAUGCCACUCUCAAUUUUCUCGUGCUUUCUAGCCAUAAAGGGUUCUUAACCAAUUACAUUUAUAAAGUGGAUAAUUCACUUAAUUAUUACAUCUCGUCCUUGCAGUUAUAAGAUCAAGAUAUCUCGAAUUUAAGAUGCAAAAGUUCCCUCCAAGAGCAUAUCCAAAAAUCCACAUAUUUCAAGUCCCACCUUAAGACAUCUUUCCCAUAUGGUGUAAUGAAUUCACAAUAUAUACAUCAGCAUACACAUAAUUACUUAUUAUUUAUAGUAUCCCACUAUUUUCAUUAUCCAUUAUUAAUCAUCUUCCUUGUCUUCUAACUCCAAUAGUUUAUUAACUUCCAGUACAAAGACCACGAAAAUAGUUCAUCUUUCACUACAUUUAUACUCACAAUCCUUAUUAAUAAAAAAUUUAUCUUUUUCAAGUUCCUUCAUUUAUCUCUAAUGGACCAUAUUUGUAUUAGAUUAUCUUCCUAUAAUGUUAUGGCAUCAUUUUAUACUUCCUUCACCCUCAAGUUUACAAUCUUUAACUUUAUCACAUUAAUCGCUCAAAAUGUCAUCUAGAGCCUCAUUGAUUUCUUCCAUAUCCUUUCGAAAUAUAACUACAAUUAAGAUUCCCAAUUUCACAUCUCCAUGAUUGAUUGUUAGUCUUACCACACUGUCUCCCAUUAUCCUGUGCAAUUACAACACACUGAACCCACUUAUUAUAACAUAGUCCCCUAGUUCAAUGUGCUUGCUUGGGAAUCAUCUUCUUUGAUACAAUUUGUCCCAUAAACUAGAAUUUUAUUUAUUUAGCUUCGCAUUUGGAAUCAUAUCAAAAACUCACAUACUAUGAUAAGUAAUGAUUCUCAACAAAUAUCAUUAAUUCAAAUGACCUUUUAUACCUCGUCAAAAUCUAGGGUUAUCACCCCAAAAGUUUAUCACGUUAAUCAGUCUCCAUUUCUUAGUACUGCAAAAAUAUAUUCAUUGCUAGAUCUGGUAAUUGCUUGAAUCAUUAAUGACUUUCCACAUCAGUCUUUAGUAAUUAUUUAUCAACCAUGCCACGAAGAUAAAUAUCUUUCCUUAACAAUCAUAGUGCUAGUCCAAUUCUAUCCUACCAAAAGAUUCCCAUAUACCUCCAAUCACUUAAAUAGCUACUUUAUAAUACAUUCUAGUCACACACUUUAAAAGCCAAACUAUUAACUUCUUUGUACAAAUAACUAUUAUCUCUUUUAUUCUACAUCUACCUAGAGUUAAAGUAGUACAAAAUCCUACGAAAAUAUUACAUGUCAUUAGGAUCAUCAUCUUAAUCUGAUCUUAUCGAAAGAUUAUACUCCAAGUCCUUCUUAAGAUCCUCUUUCGAGUUCUCCUCCUCUUGAGAUUUUCUCUUUUGUUCCUCAAUCCAGGCUUGUUGUAUUCUCUUACAUUCCUCAUAACUCACCGGUGCAGCAUUUCUUCCACAACCAGGAGGAAAAUGUUGUACAACAUUCACCUUCCUACGGGGAUUAUUUGCAAUAGUUACUUUCUCCUUAUUCUUUUCCUAUUGUUCAUUUACAUUCAUCCCACAGCCUAGAGGAUAGUGUUGAACAACUGACACGCCCUUCCUAGGACGAAUACCUCCCCUUGCAAUUGCCUUCCUCGCCCAUUCUCUAUGGUACUCUUCAGGUUGUUUCAAAAGGAAAUCUUUUACAAUUUUUGGAGUAUCAGAGCUGCUCUCACUUUCAAAAUUCUUGUUACACUUGAAGCUUUCCUUAUUACUAUCAGCACUUUUUAGACUACUUGGUUCAAGUUGCCAUCGGCUCAUAGCAAUAGAAUCUAAUGAUCCCUCACUAGCACUAUGAGGGGUAUCGGGACUAUCGCCUCUUCUAGACAUGGUGUGUGUGUCACUAGCAUACUUCAAAACCUAUACGCAACCAAGUAGUAAUUACUUAAUCAUUUACGCAUCACCAGAGCAGGUAGGUUUCUAUAUGCAGAUGCAUGCAUUCGACUCAACGUAACUUAACUUAACUCAAGGCCACACUGACACUGUAAAUUUUAAAAUAACUUUAAAACAGUUUUAAACCCAAAAGCUCUAAUCUUUAAAAACAAAAGCUUUGAUAACAAUCCAAUUGUCACGAUCGGGAAGUCUCAUCGAGCCCGUGACAACCGCCGCGAAGUCCUGAUAGACAUUCAUUAUCCGGAAUGUCAAUCGAAACAUCGUAAGGCUUAACAUCAGUUUUUCUCGCUUCCCCUGUGAGUAUUAGUUACUAAAAUCAUGUUUUGAGAGAUUAUAAACUAUUUUCAAAUCAAAACAAUAGAAAAAUCAUUUUUUCUCACAGGGGCAUUUUGGUCAUUUUUCUUCAAAAAUCUUGAAAUUUGCUAAAAUAUAGUAUGCGAGUACAAAACACAUAAUUCAUAAUCAAAAAUAAGUUUAAACAUCUAAAACCCUUUUUUAAAAUGAAAUUAUGAUUAUUUGGAUAUAAUAAAAAAUAAAAGAAAUAUUCAAUAAAAUAUUCUAUUUUCUUAUAAAACAAUAUUUUUAGAGUUAUACGUAAAUAAUUUUUUUUUCAGCAUAAAAGCAAAAUACAUUCAUACAUACAGUAAUACAGUAAGCCAGAGUAUUUAAUUUAAUUUACAAUAACUAGUGGGCCUCAAAUAACCAAAAGUAAGGAAGACUAUGAACCUACAGUUUGAAGGAUGCAAAUCCAAUGGUAGCCUCAAUGAAAUCCGCUAUCUACAGCCUAUUUUGAGCCUGAAAUGGGUGGAAAUGAGGGUGGUGAGAUUAUAUAAUCCCAGUGAGUAAACAAAUACCAUCUAAAAUAUCUAAAGCUGAGUAAAUGGAGACAGAUUAAAAUAGAUCAUCAUACUGUAAUUUAUCACCUUUCAACUCAUUUUAACCAAAUAAAAUCAAUUCAUAUAAAUCGAGUAAUCAACAUGGCUUAUGAAUUUCUUAAAACUUUGGCUUGUGCCAAAAUCAUUCUCAUACUCAGUUAUCAGGGAUACCUUAGCAUGGGGCUAUCCCAACCGAGUCCACCAAGGCUGUUAAAAAUUUCGUACACACAUAAACAUAUUUUUAUUUUGAAAACAUAGCUGUUCCUUGGCGUUGGCUGAGUUCACCCUCACGUGAUGGUUUGGCGUGAAGUGAACUAUAAGAGUGUACCUCGGGAGUUACCCUACACGCCUCUCUGACCGAGGUAAGAAUAUAACAGGGUUACCGUGCCCCUCUAAUAGGCUGGUCCACGGAACCUGCCCACUGCAGCAAGCUAAGCCCACCAAUUCAAUAAAAUCUUAACCGCAUGACAUGGCAAUUAUAUCACAAUCCAGCCUCUCAAGGCUAAAUACACAGUUCAUAUAUUUUCAUCACAUUUACCAAUUCAGUCAUUCAUGCAAAUAUUGUCAUAAGCCAUUCGAUUCAAACCAUGAAUUUACAACACAUGAAAAUAGUCUCCAAUUACUCUAUUUUCAAAACCAUCAUUCAAUCUCAAGACAAUUUUAUAAAAUCAUUUUCAUUUAAUCUCAUUUUGCUUAUAAAACAUAAAGAUUUACUAUUUAAACUCAUUUUCCAUAAAAUCACAAAAUCGGAUAAAACCAUUUUAGAUAAUUAAGACGAUAGUAAGGUUACUCACUAUUUCGGGAGUCGAAUUCCAAGUACUUCGAUUCUUGAUCCUCGGGUACUAUCUCUUUACUUUUGCCAAAAUGCUCACCACCUAGACAUAAUGCACAAUAAGCCAUUUACUACAUUUGUGCUAAAUUGUUAUAAAACCAAUUCAGGCUCUAUACUAAUGCAUGAAAUGGGAUGUAAAUUGUUCGGAUUAUCGUCUAAACACGAUGUUUUACAC
rnacentral:lncRNA from 1 species